rnacentral:rRNA from 1 species
AACGAACGCUGGCGGCGUGCCUAACACAUGCAAGUCGAGGGAGAAAGCCCGCAAGGGUGAGUAAACCGGCGAACGGGUGCGUAACACGUGGACAACCUACCUCAGUGACCGGGAUAACUGGCCGAAAGGCUUGCUAAUACCGGAUAAGCCCACGGGCUCUUCGGAGCCAGAGGGAAAAGGCGGCCUCUGUAAACAAGCUGUCACACUGAGAUGGGUCCGCGGCCCAUCAGCUAGUUGGCGGGGUAACGGCCCACCAAGGCGACGACGGGUAGCUGGU